CACGCCCUAAACGAUGUCUACUAGUUGUCGGGUUUUAAUUAACUUGGUAACGCAGCUAACGCGUGAAGUAGACCGCCUGGGGAGUACGGUCGCAAGAUUAAAACUCAAAGGAAUUGACGGGGGCCCGCACAAGCGGUGGAGUAUGUGGUUUAAUUCGACGCAACGCGAAGAACCUUACCAAGGCUUGACAUUGAGUGAAAGGCUAAGAGAUUAGCCCCUCUCUUCGGAGACACGAAAACAGGUGG
rnacentral:rRNA from 1 species